CCUACACACCUUGUUACGGGUGCCCUUCACAGGGUGAAACGGGAAACCGGUGCGUUCAGGCCUUCGGGUCUGUGCAAGUCCGGCGCUGCCCCCGCAACGGUAAGCGAGUGAAGAGUCAGAUCCACUGUGUCGGUAGCGAUAUGGGAAGGCGAUUCUUGAAGGCAUGUGUGACUUGCAUGUCCCUCGCAAGCCCGGAGACCGGCCCGACAACGACACAUAAC
rnacentral:ncRNA from 2 species